AUUUGUGUUUCCUCCUCAGUCGUUUGUGUUUCCUCUUCAGUCGUUUGUGUUUCCUCCUCAGUCGUUUGUGUUGCCUCCUCAGUCGUUUUGUUGCUCCCAGUCGUGUUGUGUUCUCCUCAGUCGUUUGUGUU
rnacentral:lncRNA from 1 species